rnacentral:lncRNA from 1 species
GUUUACGAGAACUCCUUUGGGCAGGAGUGGAAGAAUCUCUCAAAGUUAAGGUCCAUUGGAAAUUUAGGAGAGUAUCCCACCAAAGCCACAAGCGAGGGGCCAUCGCAUUCCAGGUAUAGCUGAUUGCAAAAUUUCAAUUGGAUGUCCAGAGCCGUCAUUGGAUUAGACUCGUUCAAAACUCGCCAGCAGCUUCUUCUCGCCUUUGGUCUUUAGCCAGAGCUUGACGAACACUCCCUGCUCGAGCUUAAUGGUCGAGAGGUGGGACGGUUUCAAAUAAUUAAAAAGAUCGCUGUAAGCUUUGUUAUCCGCCAUGUACAUUGGGAACGGGUUGGGUGCUUGAGGCUCUGAGUUCACCAUUUUGAGUAUUUUCUGCAAUUUAUCAUCGCAUUAUGACAAUAUAUGACCAAGUGACACCAACU